rnacentral:rRNA from 1 species
UUCCUUUGAUGAAUUUUCCGAUGUAGGCUUCGCCUGCGGGGCCGUUGAAGGAAAUGAUCGACGCCGCAAAACCGUUCAGACUGACGGUUCCUGCAACAAGGGCCAUAGCCGCUGAUGCCAAUAUCAUUUUUUUUCCGGUUUUCAUAAUACCCUCCUACAGGUGGUGAUUAAUAGUUGUGCAACUCUAACGCAAACGAUUGCAUCACAUAGAAGCACAUUUGUCAAAUUAUGAGUAAAAUCAUCAAAAUCAAAAACUUAUACUGCUUUUUCUUGAUGGCUUCUAAAGAGUUCACGGCGCCGGCGAUGUUUCGCGCCUCGAGGCCGGCUCAUCACAUCCCGGGGCUGCGGUUAGCCUCAGGGGUAUGACUGUUCGCGAUUUAAGGUGGUAUGCGAGCCGGAUUCGGAACAUCGUGAGACAGGCCGGCCCCUAUCCGCUGUGGGCGCCGGAGGUCACGCCCCUCUUUUUUUGCCGUU